rnacentral:rRNA from 1 species
UCAAGUGACUAAGUGCAUGUGGCGGAUGCCUUGGCGAUCACAGGCGAAGAAAGACGCGGCAGCCUGCGAAAAGCUGCGGGGAGCUGGCAAACGAGCUUUGAUCCGCAGAUAUCUGAAUGGGGGAACCCACACCGCAAGGUGUAUCCGUAGCUGAAUACAUAGGUUACGGAGGCGAACGAGGAGAACUGAAACAUCUAAGUAUCCUCAGGAAAAGAAAUCAACCGAGAUUCCGGCAGUAGCGGCGAGCGAACCCGGAGGAGCCCAGCUUUUGAUAGUACGAACUUUAGCCGAAAGGUCCUGGAAAGGCCUGCUAUAGUGGGUGAUAGCCCCGUAGGCGAAAGAGUUGGUACGGUACUAAGGAAGCGAGAAGUAGAGCGGGACACGUGGAAUCCUGUUCGAAGACGGGGGGACCAUCCUCCAAGGCUAAAUACUCGUGAUCGACCGAUAGUGAACCAGUACCGUGAGGGAAAGGCGAAAAGAACCCCGGGAGGGGAGUGAAAUAGAACCUGAAACCGCAUGCAUACAAACAGUAGGAGCCUCGUCAGAGGUGACUGCGUACCUUUUGCAUAAUGGGUCAGCGACUUACAUUCUGUGGCGAGCUUAACCGAAUAGGGGAGGCGCAGCGAAAGCGAGUUCGAAAUGAGCGUUCAGUCGCAGGGUGUAGACCCGAAACCAGAUGAGCUAUCCAUGGCCAGGUUGAAGGUGUGGUAACACACACUGGAGGACCGAACCGACUAGUGUUGCAAAAUUAGCGGAUGAGCUGUGGAUAGGGGUGAAAGGCCAAACAAAUCUGGAGAUAGCUGGUUCUCCCCGAAAACUAUUGAGGUAGUGCCUCGUGUGUCGCUCCAGGGGGUAGAGCACUGUUUUGGCUAGGGGGACAUGGAGUCUUACCAAACCAAGGCAAACUCCGAAUACCUGGAAGCGUAAGCACGGGAGACAGAGCACCGGGUGCUAACGUCCGGACUCAAAAGGGAAACAACCCAGACCGCCGGCUAAGGUCCCAAAUAACAGCUAAGUGGAAAACGAAGUGGAAAGGCCGUGACAACCAGGAAGUUGGCUUAGAAGCAGCCAUCCUUCAAAGAAAGCGUAAUAGCUCACUGGUCGAGUCCUUCUGCGCGGAAGAUGUAACGGGGCUAAGCUGUUAACCGAAGCCGCGGAUGCGCUGGUUAUCCAGUGCGUGGUAGGGGAGCGUUCUGUAAGUCUGCGAAGGCGGUUCGAGAGGACUGCUGGAGAUAUCAGAAGUGCGAAUGCUGACAUGAGUAACGUUAAAGCAGGUGAAAAGCCUGCUCGCCGUAAGCCCAAGGAUUCCUGCUCUACGUUCAUCGGAGCAGGGUGAGUCGGCUCCUAAGGUCAGGCCGAAAGGCGUAGCCGAUGGGAAUCAGGUUAAUAUUCCUGAACCUGCGUCAGAUGCGAUGGGGGGACGGAGCAUGGAAGAUCAUCCGGGUGUUGGAAGUCCCGGUUGUUUAGCGUAGGAGGUCUGCAGGCAAAUCCGCAGACGCAUCUCCAAGGCAAAGACACGUGCCGCCACGGCGGCGAAGUGAUCGGAAGUGCUUCCAAGAAAAGCCUCUAAGCCCCAGUCUGACGCGGACCGUACCGCAAACCGACACUGGUGGGCGAGCUGAAUAUGCUCAGGCGCUUGAGAGAACUCGGGAGAAGGAACUCGGCAAAUUGACACCGUAACUUCGGAAGAAGGUGUGCCGUAGUACCGUGAGAGGAGAGACACCUUGAGCGGGAAACGGUCUCAGAGAAUAGGUGGUUGCGACUGUUUAUUAAAAACACAGCACUCUGCAAAGUCGAAAGACGACGUAUAGGGUGUGAUGCCUGCCCGGUGCUGGAAGAUUAAUUGAUGGGGUGAGAGCCCUUGAUCGAAGUCCCAGUAAACGGCGGCCGUAACUAUAACGGUCCUAAGGUAGCGAAAUUCCUUGUCGGGUAAGUUCCGACCUGCACGAAUGGCAUAACGAUGGCCACACUGUCUCCUCCCGAGACUCAGUGAAGUUGAAAUGUUUGUGAUGAUGCAAUCUACCCGCGGCUAGACGGGAAGACCCCAUGAACCUUUACUGCAGCUUUGCAUUGAACUGUGAACCGAUUUGUGUAGGAUAGGUGGGAGGCAGAGAAGAGGCCACGCCAGUGGCCUUGGAGCCGACCUUGAAAUACCACCCUGAUUUGUUUGCGGUUCUAACCACGGACAGUGAUCCUGUCUUGGGACCGUGCAUGGUAGGCAGUUUGACUGGGGCGGUCUCCUCCUAAAGGGUAACGGAGGAGUACGAAGGUACGCUAGGUACGGUCGGAAAUCGUGCUGAUAGUGCAAUGGCAAAAGCGUGCUUGACUGCGAGAGCAACAACUCGAGCAGAUGCGAAAGCAGGUCAUAGUGAUCCGGUGGCUCUGAAUGGAAGGGCCAUCGCUCAACGGAUAAAAGGUACUCUGGGGAUAACAGGCUGAUACCGCCCAAGAGUUCAUAUCGACGGCGGUGUUUGGCACCUCGAUGUCGGCUCAUCUCAUCCUGGGGCUGUAGUCGGUCCCAAGGGUAUGGCUGUUCGCCAUUUAAAGAGGUACGUGAGCUGGGUUUAAAACGUCGUGAGACAGUUUGGUCCCUAUCUGCCGUGGGCGUUGGAAGAUUGACGGGGGCUGCUCCUAGUACGAGAGGACCGGAGUGGACGCACCUCUGGUGUACCGGUUGUCACGCCAGUGGCAUUGCCGGGUAGCUAAGUGCGGAAGAGAUAACCGCUGAAAGCAUCUAAGCGGGAAACUUGCCUGAAGAUGAGUCUUCCCGGAGGUUGAACCUCCCUCAAGAGUCGUCCGAGACCAGGACGUCGAUAGGUCAGGUGUGUAAGCGCUGUAAGGCGUUGAGCUAACUGAUACUAAUUGCUCGUGAGGCUUGAUCCU